UACAGAGGGUGCGAGCGUUAAUCGGAAUUACUGGGCGUAAAGGGUGCGUAGGUGGUUUUGUAAGUUAAGUGUGAAAGUCCCGGGCUUAACCUGGGGAUUGCGCCUAAUACUGCAAAGCUAGAGUACUGUAGAGGAAAGUGGAAUUUCCAGUGUAGCGGUGAAAUGCGUAGAUAUUGGAAGGAACAUCAGUGGCGAAGGCGACUUUCUGGACAGAUACUGACACUGAGGCACGAAAGCGUGGGGAGCAAACAGG
rnacentral:rRNA from 1 species